CGGCGUGCUUACCAUGCAAGUCGAACGGGAUCCAUCAGGCUUUGCUUGGUGGUGAGAGUGGCGAACGGGUGAGUAAUGCGUGACCGACCUGCCCCAUACACCGGAAUAGCUCCUGGAAACGGGUGGUAAUGCCGGAUGCUCCAGUUGAUCGCAUGGUCUUCUGGGAAAGCUUUCGCGGUAUGGGAUGGGGUCGCGUCCUAUCAGCUUGACGGCGGGGUAACGGCCCACCGUGGCUUCGACGGGUAGCCGGCCUGAGAGGGCGACCGGCCACAUUGGGACUGAGAUACGGCCCAGACUCCUACGGGAGGCAGCAGUGGGGAAUAUUGCACAAUGGGCGCAAGCCUGAUGCAGCGACGCCGCGUGAGGGAUGGAGGCCUUCGGGUUGUAAACCUCUUUUAUCGGGGAGCAAGCGAGAGUGAGUUUACCCGUUGAAUAAGCACCGGCUAACUACGUGCCAGAGCCCCGCGGUAA
rnacentral:rRNA from 1 species